UUCUAUUUCUUUUUCUCUGACAUUUUAAUUUCAACAAAAAGCAGUGGUCUCCAUGCAGGUUCUCUCUGGAGAUCCUAAUGGUCUAUAAAACAGAAUGACUUAUAGACGUGGCACCCACUUCAGCUGGCGAGCGAUUGUUUGAAACCUUGCUGAUCACGCAAAAUUUAAUUUUUCCACCUCCCUCCCCCUGUUCUCUACUCAUUUCUUGUCUCUUCUAUUACAGCCCCAGUGUCUCAGCUCACAAUGAAGGGAGCAAAGUGUCGCCUCUGAAUCUGUUACAGAGGCUUUUCUUAGAAGGCCAGGGGGCUGAAGACAAAGCUGGAGUGGCAGAUUCCACACUGAACUUGAUAUCUUGCUCUCCAAAGAUUAAGAGACUGAAGCUCAGAGAGGUGAAUCACCUGCUGGAGGUCACACAGCCAGGAAGAGGUGGAGCCUGGAUCUCCUGUCCCUGGGCCCUUUGGAGCAGGUGGGCCUCCAAAGAUACACUCUGCUGAGUUCCUGCCGGGUGAGGAGGACUGUGGAUCUGUGCACAACCCUCUCCCUGGGCCCCAGGAACACCAAGAGCCCAGGCCCCACCAGCCAGGCAGCCUUGUGCCUGUCAGCCCUGCCAGCUUCUCUGGGCCAGAUCCAUCACCCCAGCACCAACCAUGCCCUGGGCCUGACUCCAUCCAUCCGGCAUCGACUGUGCUUGGGCACAUUCCUGAGGCGCUGAAUAAUUCAGGUCUGGUAAUGGGGUAAUGAAUUUACUGACAACCCCAUGUGGUCUCGGUACUUACACUUUAAGAAAUACUGACUCCCCAGGUCGACUGGGGCUGGAGAUGUACACACGCCGAGAAACUGUUGCCUUCACCCACCUCGUGGGGUUCAGGCCUGAUGGAGUCAUGACCCGACUUUGAUCUCAUUGGUUCUUCAGCUGCUUGGAGGAGGCAGGGGUCUAGAGGCAGAGGGACUGUCCAGUUGGAACUUUGGGGUGAAGCGAAAGUGGAACCCCAGGAGCUUGAACAUGCAGAGCUGGAAAGGAACCCAGCGACCCUUUGGUCCUGCAUACCCAUUUUAGGAACCAGGAAACUGAGGGUCUUGGCAGGGACAGACCCCUGCAUGCUGUGUACUGUGGUUGGGGACGCUGGGUCUGACUCGGGGCUCCAGGAAGACCUGCUUGUUUUCCUUCUAACCUGAUGGUUUCCCCGGCCCCCAGCUGUAGGAGGUUGCUGCUGAUGGCUCCCAGCUGCCCCUUCGCUGGGGAUGAGCUCGCAGCCAAACGAGGGCCGUGCCCCGCAAGGCCGCCCCACACUGCACGACCUGAGCAGACUGUGGCCAGUGACCGGCUGAUGUGGUGCAAAAGGCCACCCCAAGCCUCAAGUUGUUUUUUGUGAAGAGAUUGCUCCGAUACAAGCUAAUAAUCCAUCAUAUCCAGAAGCAAAACAAAGAGCAUGGACUUCGGAGACAGACUUCCAGGAAUCAAAUCUCAGUUCCAUCACUUACUUGUCCUGUGAUCAUGAGCAAGGCAGCUCAGUCCCGCUGCUCAAGUUGGGGACACAAAAGGGAGCGGUGCGCACCGCGGGGAUCCGCGCCAGGAUAGAGGGUCCCUCCACCCCGCGCCUCGGCGGAGCAGAGCUUGAAACCCAGAACCUCAGACGGCGUCCACCUGGUCGCCCCAACGAGGCCGAGAAUGGGAGCCCAGAUCCUGACCUGGCCGGAUUGGAAGGGGCUUCUGGAUCCCGGGCCCCGGUGCGCUGUCCCGCGGCGCAGACGGGGAUAGACUGCAGACUGCGGAGGAAUCGCGACGUGGAAAAGCAGCCGCGGCGCCAGCCAGCCGCGGGUCCGGCCUCUGGAGAGAGGAAGCAGCCGGGCUGGGAGGGGGUUGCCUGGAGGGGUAGGCUGGUGGCUGCCUCUGGCCCUCGGCAGCCAGAAGAAGAAGCGAAGAGCAAAACUCCUUUUCUCCCUAGGGACAAGAGGGUUCCGGCGCGCUCUCCUCCCCAGGCCUGGGAAACAGGUUCUCAAGCGCCCUCCGACCCCCAAUCGAUCCCAGUCUCCCGCCUGCGACAGGGGAUGCUUGGAGAGCGAGGAGAGGGACGCGGGGAGCGGCACCUCCCCCAGGCCGAGGCUGGGCGGCCGAGUCCCGACCUGCGCUGCUCUGAGCAAAACGAAACCCAAACUCCCAAAAUUCUCGACAGGGGAAUUUAAAAAAUUCCCCACCCCCCUUUCCUUUCACUUUUAACAAACCAGCAGCUGGGGGAAAAAUUAAACGAAAUGAGCGAUAGCUAAGGACGCUAUCUUUCCAAACUGUGAAACCCCUUUAAAAAAUAUUUUCGAAGGCCAGCCCCACGACUGGCCAGCUCUUCUGAAGCCUUUGCCUUUUCCUGAAAAUCACAACAAAACAGUCGGAAAUGCGGCCAAGGUCCUGGGAUGGAGUAGACGUGAGGCCCAGAGAACCCGCUGCUGCUGAAACCGCCAUGCUCUUCUUUCUCUUUAACCAAAAAAUAAAAAAGAUAAUAAUAAGAAGUAAAACCUUUUAAUACAUCAAAUAUACGGAAUU